GGCGAAAGGUAUGUCCUGCGCAGCGGCCGCCAAGCUCGCCACCGUGGUGUCUCUUCGGCCAUAGUGGACUUUCCAGUGAGGGCCGUGUGACUAUCACAGAAGAAAAGAUGGUGGUGAGAGCUUUGAUCUCGGCAUUUUCCUUUCGCUCACCGCUAUGACGGCUUCUCUUGCAGCUAGAGCCAAGAGAUCAGCGCAGGAAACCACGCCGUCGCAGAUUUGCUCCAGUUGGAACUUCACGUCGUCGAUGACUUCGUAAGCUCGAAAAAAGUUUGAGUUUGGAGGAGCGCUCUUCUCGCCCAGCCUGGGAGGAACGUCGUCCAGGAGGAUUGAAGCAUCGCAGCCCUGCAAAAGAAGUUAUGCUCCAUCUUUUCGAUCAACUCAAGGUACUAGUGAGAUUUCCCUUCGAACUUUACCGUGACAAAGCAGUCGUGAAAAUGUAGGCGAAGGAGUGAAGCUGCGAUCCCCGGCUCGUCCUGGACGAACUUAUUUACGGUCUCUCGCACUGUGGUCUCGAGAUUGGGACAGGAAUCCUGG
rnacentral:lncRNA from 1 species